GAGAGUAUAGCUCAGUGGUAGAGUGCAUGCUUAGCAUACAUGCAGUCCUGGGUUCAAUCCCUAGUACCUCCA
rfam:Camelus ferus unplaced genomic scaffold scaffold247, whole genome shotgun sequence.